UCUCACUGGUUGGGCUUUCUCCACUACCUCAACAAAUACAAGCCCAAAACUAUUCAGUCACAAAAGUAAAGCCCAAUACGAAUUAUUAGGGUUUCACAACCAUAUAAAUACAAACAAACCCUACUCUAAAUCCUUCGCUUCCAUUAUCAUCUCACUCAGCCCCCUCUCAGUCUCCAAACCAUAAGGAUUUCUCCAGAGCUUUGAGUAACUCGUCAGCAUGAGAGCCAAGUGGAAGAAGAAGCGUAUGAGGAGAUUGAAGAGGAAGAGACGAAAGAUGAGACAGAGAUCUAAGUAGAUUUUUGAUUUCGAAACUGUGUCGUUUUAGUUUGUGUUUUUCCCUAAAAUUCUGUUGAAUUAUCAGUACUAUUUUAAUUUCUUAAUUAACUACAGUUUUGCCGGACCAUUUUUAUUUAAUGGAAGUGAAUGGCUUAUUUCUUUUUGAAA